AAAGUGCCUGUACGAAAGGGAAAAAACGUAUUUAUUUGAUGAAGGAUGCAUUUUGGAAACGGGCUCAAGCGAUCACGAUUAUUCAGGAGUCCGACGAUCGUGAGAUUGGCUUUAAGAGUUAUUUUCCCAUUUUUGGUUUCUAUCGAGCAUUCGCAAACGAGUAGAGUAUUAGAUACGGACAGUCGAUCGUUUCUCACGCGGUUGUACGAGCACGAUGGCCUAAUUGGUGAAGCACUCGUGAUUCGAGAGCAUUUCACAGCGGAUCGAUCUGCUCUGCCUAAGUGAUGAGCUCGCGCAUUCAGGACAAAAGCGGUUAAGCGCUUGCACGUAAUUUUCAUUGCGACCCACUAAUUUCUGAAAUAUUCUUUCUCCAGGUUUGCCGAGAUGGGGGAAAAAACGAUGACGAGAAGAGGAUUGAAAUGGGACGUGGCAAUGACACCAAAGUGCGUCCUCCAAAUCACAAAUACAACGAGCAUCAUUAUCAGCUUCAUCGCCGUUGUCGUCAUGAUCAGAGAGACCGCGAGGAAACAUUUCCAAUUUGCUAAUUGCUCGGGAACGAUUGCCUUCGUCGUUCGGAGCUCGCUCGAGACGAGCGUCUCACUCUCUGGGUUUCUUAGCAGCAUCUUUUCCCACAGCAUCGAAAGGAUCAGAAGGAUCUUCUGUUUUUUUCGCAUUUGAAAUCUGCUGUCACACUGACAUUCAAUUCUCGUCUGCUCUGUCUCAUUUGUGUCUUGAGAUAAGGAAGACUGUAUAAACGGUGCAGGAGGAAAAUCGUCGUGUUUGCCAAGGGACGAAGGAAAAUGUAGGAAUAGAUUGAUGAAAUUGACGACUGGCAUGUCAAUCAGAAAGGCAAUCACAGGGAAUCGGGACUCGGGUGCACUACAAACAUGAAGAAGGUUUAAACGCGGAUUCUCAGGACUCUUGGGGCUGAAUGGGGGAAGAAUGCGAUCGAUACGUGUCUCCCAUCUUCCACGUCUCUAUCGCGUUUCCUUGUGUGCGUAGAUCUUUCGGAGAGGAAGUCUGACAAGUUUACAGUCCAGACUUUCGCAUUGAAAAUUGAGUUUUGUUCUCAACGGUUUUCACCCUGUUUGCAACCACGACAUUCGACCCUGCGCGUAAGAGCUUUGUCCUCUGGACAAUCGGAUUCAAUGCAGGAAAUGCGUUUGCAAAUUGAACUUAACGAAGCAAGCGUCCGAUUUCCUCAAGCAUCGUUGAAGAAAUUUCGUCGUUUUCGUUCAUAAUUUCUACGAUCUCGUCCCGGAGAAUAGCAGAAACGCGCGUCCAUGACCAUGAAUCUGCAACGUGAGCAGAAAAAUAAAAGUUUUACGGCCGUACGUCGCAGUUCGAGCCCAUUUAGUGUUAAGAAAAGCAAACUAGUUUAACUGGUCCCUGACACCGAGUGAGAUUGUUGUGACCAGCGCACAGUUAUGGAAAUAAAAACACUCUCGAGCCUCGUGUCUCUCUUUCUCUCUCAAUUCGCUCAAGUUCGAAUUGAGCAGGAUUCGCAUCGCGUUUUCAUCGAUGUUCGCUAACCGCAAUCGACCUCUCUCUUCAUUUCCUCGGAGGAAAAAAACGAAUAUCAAUAACUAGAGAAAAUGCAACAGUGACCAGAUUCGUUCAGGACGGAAUGAGGGUUAAUCUCGCAUCGACGAGGUUACGAUCAGUCGCCGGGAACACAUUACCCCCUGCUACGCUGCCAACGGUUCGAUUCAUGCGUCACAUUGCAGUUCAAUCGAUCAUAUCACCUCGGAGAAUACGUUAACUUCAUUUUUUCUUCGACUCGGGGGCAGGAGAUUGAGGAAGAAAAGUGUUGGAGGAAUGGACGGAAACGACCUCGAAAUAGCAAUCGUUUUCACAGUCAACUCGAAGAACCUCGAAGAUCUGUUGCUAUUCCCAGCAGAAAAUCCGACGCCACGAAUCGCUGAAAAACUUGAGAUUUCGCUCUUUUUAUACUCGGAAUUGGAACCUUUAUCGACGCGAAUUCGAGCAGGCGAAUUGGGUGGAAAUGAGCAGCGAGACAGGCCUUCCGGAGCGUUUUUUUUUGAACGCCGGAGCAUCGAGCGAGGUCGAGUUGUCCGGGAGGCAGAAUUUCGGACGUUGAUCCCUGGAGCACGUGUUUUGUGACGAUCUUUUGGUGAUUUUGCUGCGACCAGCAGCAUGGAAGCUUUGAAAGGGAGUAAUUUGGUGUCUCCAUUGUAACGAAAUGUAAUUCAAUAACGUGUAACGAGGACAAAGCGCCGAGUCUAUAACUGAGACCACAAAAGUAUAAUACAAGCGAGUGCUGGUUGGAAGUCUCGUUCCACGAAGCAAGACGCAGCUACCAGGGGUCAGGAGAAGUACGAGGAAGAACGACUGCGGGAGUGAAGAAGGCAGCGUUGGCUGGCUGCUUCGAGAGGAAGACGAAAACUCGAAGAAAUAUAGGACGAGGGAGCGCACGGGGCAGACGAACACCGAGCUACGACGUGGUGUAACCCGUGUGAGAGUUGCAUCAGUCGAAACUUGCUUACGAUAUGCUUGUUUUUUGUCCAAGAGAGAUUGGUCAUUGUGCGCAGAAAUUGCAAGCUACUGCACCAUUCCGACGAAGGACGUUAGCGAAAUUUCGUCCUUAGAGCGAGACUAAAGCUGCUGUUGAGAUUGUGCCGAGCCUUGGAUCGAGAGGCUUCGAAGGAGGACGCGGAUUUCCUCCGGUUUCCGGAUUUCUAAUCGUCCCACGAGAUCUUGGUUCGCUCGUCGUCGAACUCUGGCCCAUAUUCACCCAAAAAGCAGCGUGGCCCAUGAAAAUUGAAUCUCAACAAUUUUCGCAUGCGUACGAUACGCUUGAUUGCUCAUUUAAUUAACCCCAAUCACUCCUGACUCUUGACCUUUUCCAUAGCAGCGCAUCCAAGCUUGCUUUUAAUUGGCGCUAAGUCGUUUUAGAUUCUAAUUGAGAGCGCGAUCCUCGCAGGUUACUCAAGACCUCGAGGUCACCUGCGAAAUUUCAUCCAAGUGUAAACUCACAUAUGCAACAAACGGCGAGCAUUCUGGCCGCGUCGUCUGGCGGUGCACAGUCCGGAAAGAAGGGCUUCAUCACGUACACGCUGAAGGUGAGGGCAACGAUCGCUUGGCUGCACGGCCUCACGAUCAUACACUCGACCCAGAGCCUCAUGAACGCCAAAAAGGGACCGAACGUCUCCAUUAUGUAAGCGUAAUCCGCUCCCGAUUUUCUUAUCAUGCAACCGAGCUCCGCGUAACAGUAAGCUCCGACCUGGAAGAUAACAAAUUCUCCAAUGAAUCAGCAUUUUAUUUCACUUUCGUCGAACGAGCUUUUUCCACAUCCGCGUCUUCGUACACAAAUUUCUCAGUCCUCGGAGUCCAGUCCGGAGCUUCGGUGAACUCGUUCAAUGGGAAUUUAUCAUUGCACUAAAAAUUAUCAUGCCGAUUCUGGUAUUUUGUAUAAUACGUUUGUCGAAGGAAUGGAUCAUCGGUAUGAAAAACCUGAAAAGUUGGCCUCCAAAAAGCGUCUUCAAUGACCAACUUCAAGAAAGUAAUGAAAAUCUUAUCGGGUUACGAAGUUAAAACUCAUUUCGGGAGUGGAAUCAGCAGCUGCGAGAGCUCCGAAAACCAAACGAUUGUAUGUUGAUAAUAUAGAGAUUGGGGUCAAUCGCGAUGGGAAGAUACAAAGAGGAGCUCGUGGCAGGAAGAUCCGCACUGAAAAGAGUCGUGACGAGGAAAAAGAUACGUCAAAUGAAGUUAUUCCUGUCCUCAUUGCGCCGUUGUGUCAACAAUGGGGGAGUAAAAAAAUUCGUUCAAGUUUAUUCGCACCAAAUGCGCGAGUAGUCAGACUCGAUUAUGAACGCUCCGUUGAUUCCAUUCGAAAAAUUGAUGUCGACGUAAGAACAUACUCUCAGACAUAAUUAUAAUGAGGGAGAAAAAUGGAGCCUGUCACCACUCGCCGGAGGGCUUAACGGGCAGAACGAGCAAAAAAUUAAUCAUGCGAGCUAAUCGAGCCCCCGCACCGAUCAGCGAUAAGCUUACAAUAUACGUGCGUUUAUUUGAGUAAGGAGACUUGUUUUCAUAAUUUGUUAGCACAGCCGAGAGUCGGUCCUUGAUAAUUUAUCAACGAAUAAUAUUCUCCCGAGAGACAAAACUGCUCGUUUUUUAAUCGAGUUUAUCGGUUUCCGAUCUACCAACGAUCAAUGAAUUUCUCACUUCCGACGGUGGAUUUAAGCCCUCGAAACAGGGAUUUACUCACCAUAGAAAAUAUACCCGACGCUGUCCAUACCAGCAGACUAGCGUUGACGCUUCCUGUGUACUGGAGCACGCCAGCGGGGCUCACGAAUAUUCCGGAACCGAUGAUCGAACCAACGAUCACCGUGACCCCGUUCAACAGGGACAUCUUCGCCUCCAACUUGAUCUCGCUGUUCCCGGCAUCGCCGUUCGUCGUCACCGGAUCUUUCGUCGAUGGAAGCAGCUUCUAUUUUCCUCAUUUCGCACGCGAAAAGGGCACGUUACGGACGGUACAUCUCAGUCUCAUUCACUCUCCUUACUCGGAGUGUGUGCCACGUGUGUGAGCGAGCAAUCAUUUAACUCGGUUCUUCCUGAAUAAUGCAUCCGCCGCCUGGAACCCGCUCGCAUGAGGAUUUAUAGAGGAAAAUAAAACGAAGAAGAGAAGGAAAUAAAAGCAAGUUUAAGACGCGUGGGAGCACGUGAAAAUUUCUGCUUUCUCUCUACCAUGCUGCGACAACGAAUCGUUAUUUUAUACGACGACCAAGGAAAGUGCGAGGCUUCAUUUAAAUUUAUUUCAACGCCAGAGAUGCCCUUGAUGAAAUUGCACCUGCGAUCUAGAUUUUCGAUCUUUCGUCCCCAUAAAAUCUCGAGUUAAUUUCCAUGAGCGAAUGAAAGAAAAUAUCUCGCAUUUUGCUCCAUUGAAGAAUCUCGUCGAACCAAAAUCAAUUCGUAUUCUAAAAUGUUUUAUUCCAUAGGAAUCGAUAACCAGAAUUUCCACUCAAAAAUGCGGAAUCUCAGCGACACAGUUAUCUCCAGAAAAGUGGUCCUCGGAUGCUGGACCAGCACGAGGGAUCCGGUUUCGAGGAUCAUUUUCGCACUGAAAUUUCCUGUCGGCCAACGGAGCGUGAAAUUCUGCAUCAUGGAUUAACCCCAUCUGAAAACAGCGAGCGAAGCUGUUACGAGCCGUCGCUACCCCGGGCAGCUGUCAACGACGAUCUUCGGUCCGGGUGGAGAUGCGAGCAAGCAGGAUGAAGAGUCGUUCAAGCUUUUUUGGACUCUGGAUCGCUUGCCAGUUUCGAUUUUGGCUUCAGAAGGGAACGUCAAGAAGCGUCGAUUCCGCUCAUCAUCACUCUCCGUCCUUCGUCUUGACAGCAUCAAAAUGAGCGACGAAUUCGACAGUUUGGCAGACCGCGAGGGCCACAACAAUCCACGAAUGUACCAGCCGAACGAUCUUCUCUGACGGGGAAAUUGAAGCUUGAAAUUACUUCCGAGCAGUUCAGGAGGGAGCUGAGAAACGAAGAAAACGGGAUUCGGGAAUUCGUUCGAUCUUCGCGAUCUAGAAAUAACCGACCUUUGCCGUCGAUCGAAAUGAAGCAACUUCUGCGACGAACAACAAAGUUAUUUUUAAGCGAGCAACGCUGUUCGGGAGAUCGAACGACUCGUAGAAGCAGAGAUAAAAGGGAUAAUCGCUUUAAAAGUGCGGAGGGUGCGAUCGUACGGUUUCUCAAUAUUCGCACGUCGUUAUCUCGCCGAGGGGUUGGCGUUUACGAACGUGUACCUUCCGGUGCUUCCAGAGCCAGUAAAAGUGCGAGAUUCUCGUACCUCGAUCUUCGCUAUUUUUCUCAUUUCAUGCACUACAAGCUCGACUCCAAGGAGCUGUGACUCUGUGAAUGUGGAGUAGAAAAGGGACUUCGAGAGAGAGAGAGAGCUCCAUCGAAGGUUGUUACUGCGAAACGCCGUGUCUUCCAGGGAGAAACGUGGCUUAUGAGCCUCGUUGGAAGAUUUUUUAACGAUCGACUCUCCCGAGCUGUUCGUGCCAAGGGAGUCGAGAUGGGGGAGUCCGAUUCGGAGAGAAGCGUCGAUUCCGCGGCCCGCCUCGACGGCCGUACCGUGCAGGAGUUUCUGCUUUAUUUUGCGGACUGUAACAACGGAAGCGGUCGAAUAUUGACCAGCUCAAACACUCGUCCGCAGACUGACAUCCGUUUUCGAUAACGAUUCAACGGAAAUUGCUUCCCGGACUUUUCUUCCCUCGCUUUCCGUGGACUUUUAUCGCCGACGAGGAAGCAGCUGCGUGUUCGGAAAUGAGAGAUUACUGGGGACGCGAUUAAAGCUAUUGGCAUCUGCGCCGGAUCAAAGAUCAUCGAUUUCAACGAAGCAAAACUCCGAAAACACGAAGCCCUCGAGGAACCCUAUUGCAUAACCAUCGUCCAAGCAACCUUGCCCACUGCCAGCCUGAAGUGAUAAAUAAACAGACGAGAUGCGCCUGCUAACACGAACCGCGAUUCCCACGCGCUCCGCUACAGUCCCGGUUUGAACCCCGACGACGAUGAAGAAUCUUUCUUCAACCCCCUCGCGGCAGGGACGAGGCGUGGACGCGGACGUAAACGUGGGCUACCCUCAACCCUCGAGCUCGUCGAAAAUCAAUACGACCACGUGCAGGUUUCCGCGCAUUUUUCUCUCCGACGUUCCAGCUCCAAAAAAAUCUUCGAAUUACAAGCCUUUCGUCAAAGUUUCCCAUCAGACAUUUCGCACGGUCGCGUGCUUCGAAAUUGAUCCGAAAGCACCCUCCCCAGACCACGGUUAUACGAGGACGGGGAUCUGAAACAAACGUUUCCUGACUAAUUGACGAAUAUCCGGCUGCAGUACUCGUGGCCACGCGCCCAGCGCUCAUUGCUACAAAGUUGGGGUGAAAACGAGCAGAGACCAGGUGUCCGGACUGCGGCUACGAAGGGACGAGCAACCGGCUACCGCCAUGUGUCCACGCUCCCGAAAAUCUCAACAAUACGUUUAUGGAGACAUUUAGGAUUCACUCGUACGAACAUCUGGCUCAACGGAUUCAGAGGCAAUUAAAUGCCAGCAAUUAUCGGGAACUUCACCGCAGAAUAAACUCGAGCCUCGAACAUCAGAGUCAACAACAGUGAGUUUCGGAGCAAAAUUCGCGAUGUUCCGGAGCAAAACUGCUUACUCACUUUAUUUUAAGGCGAAAAACACUUUAGUCGCGGAGAAAAAUUCCCUGUCAAAUGAUGGAAACGAAAAUAUUCCGGAAGGAAAUAAAAUCGACUUUGAUGAAACGAAUCGCGAAGCUUUCGGUAAUGAAAGCGGCUUCGAACGGCGAAACUCACCUCUCGCGUGUCCUGAUAAACGCUAACGAAGGUCCGUUUCACCACCGUACGAAAAUGGGCUCGACUCGGGCUCGAAGGAUAAAUAUUCACGAGAAACAAAAAACACCAAAUCAGUUAAAUGUCAAAAUAUAUUUACGUAUAUCUAAGCGCACUAAACGCGACUGUGAGGAAAAAAAGAUGAAACGUCGUUCGCGCUCAGAGCUUCAUGACCAGCGUCCGUUCGCCUCGCGCAACUCGAGGGAAACUGCGCCCGGUAAAACACGAUUCGUUCUUGUUGGUUCGAUAAGAGGGAGAGAGCACGAGCGUAUCGUUCGAUGUUGCGAUGGAAGGAGAAAGCCGCGUCUCAAAACGACCACGGACCAGGAGCCGAAGCAUAUCAGACGUCACGUUCCCAGCCACCCCUCCAUUUCGUCUCUUGCGUUUGAUCUGACUUCUGUGGACGAGCUUUGAUCGUCUCACUUGCGAAGCCUCGCGGAAACUCUCGUCAAAGGGUGCUGAUGAGCUUCGCUCCUUGUCUCAAAAACCCGAGGCUUUGUCACAGUAGCGAGGAACCUGACAGGCGGUGAGACCCGAAGCUGGGACCGGAGGGAUCGUCGCAAAUGAGAAAAUUCGCCGAUCGCAGGAUUUGACGUUCGAGCAUCCGAUCGCGUCCGCAUUCCAAUGCGUCAUUUUUCUCCUCCAAGUCAUUGCUUGACGGGUGAGCUUCGCGUGUCGAGGGAACCGCAAUGCCCGAAGGGCUCGUUCGUCGAGCACGCAAUGCCAUUCGAACGCGUGAGAUUUUUUGCUCCGUUUUCUUCGGGCGUGAGGACCGACCCCUGCAUUAACUCCUUCGAUGGCGGACCUGCCAUAUGGCAGCACGAAACAUGCUUUCCGAAUCCCCUCGACGAGCGAGGGGCUAAUGCAUGCAUUUAUAAUGUCAAUACUUCAUGACGAGGAAUCCGAUCGCGUCGGAGAAGCGAUUCGAUCACAGCGAAAAUAGUGAAUUCCCAUUCCUCCGCCGGAGUCUGCUUCGCAGACACUAAAAAUACGAAAAACUUUUCCUCGUCUCAAGAGGUUUGGGCAAUUAAGUUUGCGGAUGGGAGGAUCCUAUUGGAACAACGUUUCUGAAAAUGGAAAUCCGAUCGCGGAAAUAGACGGCGAGCACGACAAUCCGUUCGGCCUUGAAUUCAUUGGACGAGCUCGCUAGAACUGGUCCCCUCAUCGAGAGAGGCUGGCUGGCACAAAAAUUUCAUCGGGCGGUUACAGCCUCGAGUUUAUAUGAAUAUUCAACGUCGCUGCGUUAUAAACGAGAAUAUUGAGAGACGAGCCUCCGACGUUCAGUAUUCAUCGAUUUCUCUUUUUCUUUUUCAGACUUGAAAUUAUUGAAAUUAACAAGACUUGGAUGCUGGCGUUCAGGCGCCUUCGUCGGAGGAGGAAAGAGCAGCGGAUACCGGGCCCAUAGCAACGUCGAGCACACCCGAGACUCGGUGUAACGGUGCAGCCUUCAACUUCUUUCGAAUCCACCGCAAAAGUCUGAAACCAACGAACCAACACCGGAGCUCAAGGCUUCGUCGUAGGCGAACGUGCUUUUUAUGCACUUCGAAUUUCCCAGCGCACGGAUCGAUUCACAAAGUUUUUCUCCCGUGCCUGCCCCAUCGAACUGUCAAUCUGGAAUCAGAAAAACAAAAUUCCUAUCGAAACAACCGAGUCUCACAAAGCCCAAGGAAGUUCCGAGUACUCCGAUGUCAGCCGGACGACCUCGAAACCACGCAGAAUACUGUUCGAGCUCAUUUCAUCGAUUUCGGGAUCCAACCGCGUGGUCCUUCUCGCUUGCGCCCUGCGAAAGAAAAAAAGCAAAACACGCAGCGACUGGAUCGUGAGGAAAUUGGGUUCAUCCACAUCCGUCCUGAGCAGCCUGGAGCGAGACUUCCGUGGUGUUUUGGAGCAUCGACUCGCGGGGCGCGGGAAAACAGCGAGGCAAUCACCGUUCAGUUUGCAUUCGAAUCGAGUUAGUGGAUGGAGAGGAAGAGAUUCGACGGCAUUAUUUUCGAUAGCCGAACCAAGAUCCUUUGGAGGUGUUAUGAACCAACGAGAGCGGGUCGUCGGGGAAUAAAAGCCGAACAAGGGCCCCCGAGUUUUUCGAGCGCCGUGAAACCGUUUUUCGUGGCCCGUCGACGGAGAACAAAAGUGAAAGGAGCCGGUGGGAGAUACUACGACGAGGGGCCACCGAGACGAGCCCUUCGGCUCGGAGGUGCCCGAGUACUCGCGCGCGCUCUAAAUAAUUCGGUGUUUCUCACGUGCACGAGGUUUUCGACGUGAAUUCGACCCGAAGAUGACCUCCGGCUCGAGGAGUUUGGUCCGGAUGAUUGAAAAACUUGCUUUUCCAGUUUUCCACUUUUUUAUUUCGUUUACGUUCCUUUCUCAAUGAUCCCCCGACCCGGGGAUCCAACCCGUGCUCAAAUCGCCCCGAUUCAAGUGAAAUCGAUCGAAUGCCGGACUGAAAAUCGCCUAAAAACUGCAAUUCGUCCUCGCCAUAAAAAACCAACGAAGAAAAUAGCGGACCGAGCGUGGGCCCGGUUCCACCGUCUAAUGAGGCUCUCUCAGCACGGAAGAUCUUUUACAUAGCGAAGGAAUCCAACCGAAUCAGUCGCAUCGCUGCGUGCGAGAGUUUUUUCAUCGAACAGAAUAACACAAGCUCGCGCUCCACCAGGUGCGGGUCCACACGGACGUGGCUGCAACGGGUAAAUCUCCGCUGGUGUGGUUAAGUGAGUAAGCAGAGGUCGAGGGAACGCACGUGGCAGCAAAAAACCAGCCGGUAAAUGCUGGCUCCAUUGAUUCUCCGAAGGGGAUUCCAUCGCGUGUUCGUAACCGUAUUACAAAGAAAGAGGAGCGCGAGGGAGGGGCGAGGGGCAAGACGAGCAUAAAAAAACGAGUGCAGGGUACUAGGAACUCGGAUGACGAAACUCCGCUCGCACAUUUCACGGAGAAUCCUCGCUCGCUGUGACGCUCGCAGGGCAGAGCGUGUCGAUCUGAAUCACUUGGGAAAUUCACUCAUUUUUUCAGAUUUCCUCCUUCAAGAGACUCUUCACUCCGUCGUGAUUGAAUCGCCCUCUCAUUUCUUCGGAUCCGACGACAAGUAGGUCAACAAAAAUCACGCUUUUUCUCGACCGGAGUGAGUUUUGAGUCACUCAUCCAAUCGCCAGCUUUAUGAAGCGCGAAACGAAUACUGAACAGCAGCGCUUUCAGAUUAAUCCAAGGGCCUUAAGACUUGAGAGAAAAACUCUCAUCUCUCGGAGUAAUUGAAGAAACGUCAGGGAAAGCUCGAGGGUGAGGGAUGCUCGUGCGUAAGACGAGGGCGAGUGGGACGAAUCGAUAUUCCUGGUCCACUCGCGCUCUCGACGUGCGAACUGGAAUUUUAUUCUCCCACGUACGUGCCCCCCGCACUGGGCAUAAACAAAACGCUCCGCUUCACCUCAAGGACGUCGCGUUCCGUCCUGAUGACGAAUGCAGGGAAAGGCCGGCCAAAGCGGAACGCCACUGAAAAAAUGACAUUGGUUUUUCCAGGCGAAACUACAAUUUUUGGGGAAACAUUUUUGUAGAAUUGACAAAAAUCGCUCAUUUGGACUCGGGAUAAGCGGUCGAAACGUUGCAUAGGAAUUGCUCAUUUCUAUAUGUACGCUCCGUUAAUGAAAAGCAAUCGUCUGUGCGAAAUGUCAUUUUGAUUACACGUGUCAACGGUAAAAUAGAUAAAAUCGGAUAAUUAGCAAUUUUUAGUUAAAUUUCACGUUUCCCCCCGAACAAAACAUUUUCACCGCUUAUCCUGAGACAAAUGAGAGUGAUUCCAUUUCAAUUUCAACAAAGUUUUCAAUAUUCAAAAAAAACAGCUCCGAGGGUUCAUUAACAUAUGUGCCUUGAUUUAUAUUUAUUUUAUUUUUUCGUAUUUCAUUAAUAUUUCUCCAUUUUUUGUUGUUUUAUUUAUCAGUUUGUAUUUAUUUGUUGGUUACCAGUAUUUAACGCGUUAUAUCGGAACCUUUGUAUCGUGCGAUGAAAGAUUUUCCUGUAUCGUGUGCUUUCAAUUAUUUGAUUCAAUAAAAAUCUCAAAGCAGCAAU